rnacentral:rRNA from 1 species
AGCAGCCGCGGUAAUUCCAGCUCCAAUAGCGUAUAUUAAAGUUGUUGCAGUUAAAAAGCUCGUAGUUGAACUUCAGGCCUGUCCAGAUGGUCCGCCUUAAUUGGUGUGUACUGUCCUUGGGUGGGUCCUACCUUCUGGCGAAGCGGCAUGGCCUUAAUUGGUUGUGUCGGGGAACCAGGACUUUUACUGUGAAAAAAUUAGAGUGUUCAAAGCAGGCAAAUAUGCUCGAAUACAUUAGCAUGGAAUAAUGGAAUAGGACGAUGGUUCUAUUUUGUGGUUCUAGGACCGUUGUAAUGAUUAAUAGGGAUAGUUGGGGGCAUUAGUAUUCAAUUGUCAGAGGUGAAAUUCUUGGAUUUAUUGAGGACUAAUUACUGCGAAAGCAUUUGCCAAGGAUGUUUUCAUUAAUCAAGAACGAAAGUUAGGGGAUCGAAGACGAAUCAGAUACCGUCGUAGUCUUAAACCAUAAACUAAUGCCGACUAGGAAUCGGGCGAUGUUGACAAAAUGACUCG